CGAGGUGCUUGCCGAGCAGGUCGAGCAGCGCCGCUUCGAGCGCGGUCGCCACGUGCACGGUGGUGCGCAGGUCGAACGUCUGCGCACCGCGUCCA
rnacentral:tRNA from 1 species